GUUCUUUCCUCUCUCCACUCCCGUCUCACUCCCACUGCCCUUAUCAGGUCUCCCGGAAUGUUCUGGAGCAGAUCACGAGCUUUGCCCUUGGCAUGUCAUACCACUUGCCUCUGGUGCAGCAUGUGCAGUUCAUCUUCGACCUCAUGGAAUAUUCACUCAGCAUCAGUGGCCUCAUCGACUUUGCCAUUCAGCUGCUGAAUGAACUGAGUGUAGUUGAGGCUGAGCUGCUUCUCAAAUCCUCGGAUCUGGUGGGCAGCUACACUACUAGCCUGUGCCUGUGCAUCGUGGCUGUCCUGCGGCACUAUCAUGCCUGCCUCAUCCUCAACCAGGACCAGAUGGCACAGGUCUUUGAGGGGCUGUGUGGCGUUGUGAAGCAUGGGAUGAACCGGUCCGAUGGCUCCUCUGCAGAGCGCUGUAUCCUUGCUUAUCUCUAUGAUCUGUACACCUCCUGUAGCCAUUUAAAGAACAAAUUUGGGGAGCUCUUCAGCGACUUUUGCUCAAAGGUGAAGAACACCAUCUACUGCAACGUGGAGCCAUCGGAAUCAAAUAUGCGCUGGGCACCUGAGUUCAUGAUUGACACUCUAGAGAACCCUGCAGCUCACACCUUCACCUACACAGGGCUAGGCAAGAGUCUUAGUGAGAACCCUGCUAACCGCUACAGCUUUGUCUGCAAUGCCCUUAUGCACGUCUGUGUGGGGCACCAUGAUCCCGAUAGGGUGAAUGACAUCGCAAUCCUGUGUGCAGAGCUGACCGGCUAUUGCAAGUCACUGAGUGCAGAAUGGCUAGGAGUGCUUAAGGCCUUGUGCUGCUCCUCUAACAAUGGCACUUGUGGUUUCAACGACCUCCUCUGCAAUGUAGAUGUCAGUGACCUGUCUUUUCAUGACUCGUUAGCUACUUUUGUUGCCAUCCUCAUCGCUCGGCAGUGUUUGCUCCUGGAAGAUCUGAUUCGCUGUGCUGCCAUCCCUUCACUCCUUAAUGCUGCUUGUAGUGAACAGGACUCUGAGCCAGGGGCCCGGCUUACCUGCCGCAUCCUCCUUCACCUUUUCAAGACACCGCAGCUCAAUCCUUGCCAGUCUGAUGGAAACAAGCCUACAGUAGGAAUCCGCUCCUCCUGUGACCGCCACCUGCUGGCUGCCUCCCAGAACCGCAUCGUGGAUGGAGCUGUGUUUGCUGUUCUCAAGGCUGUGUUUGUACUUGGGGAUGCGGAACUGAAAGGUUCAGGCUUCACUGUGACAGGAGGAACAGAAGAACUUCCAGAGGAGGAGGGAGGAGGUGGCAGUGGUGGUCGGAGGCAGGGUGGCCGCAACAUCUCUGUGGAGACAGCCAGUCUGGAUGUCUAUGCCAAGUACGUGCUGCGCAGCAUCUGCCAACAGGUCAGUCUCACCUUCCUCCCACACCUCCUAAAUGCCUCUGUGUAAUAUAGUCCCGUUUCCAGCCCAUGAUCACACCACCUCCCUACUAUACAUUGUGUUCCUUACCAACUCCAACCCGUCCUCCAUAUUCCUAACCCCCUCACUGGUUGCUCCCAGUCCCUGAUUGUCAGCUUCCUCAGGAAUGGGUAGGAGAACGUUGCCUUAAGUCGCUGUGUGAGGACAGCAAUGACCUGCAAGACCCAGUGUUGAGUAGUGCCCAGGCGCAGCGCCUCAUGCAGCUCAUCUGCUACCCACAUCGACUGCUGGACAAUGAGGAUGGGGAAAACCCCCAGCGGCAGCGCAUAAAGCGCAUUCUUCAGGUAGGCCAAGGCUGUGGGGGCCGCAGAGGAAGCAGUGGGCCCAAUCUGGGGAGAAACAA
ensembl:lincRNA